rnacentral:rRNA from 1 species
AAUCCAUAGGUUAAUGAGGCGAACCGGGGGAACUGAAACAUCUAAGUACCCCGAGGAAAAGAAAUCAACCGAGAUUCCCCCAGUAGCGGCGAGCGAACGGGGAGGAGCCCAGAGCCUGAAUCAGCAUGUGUGUUAGUGGAAGCGUCUGGAAAGGCGCGCGAUACAGGGUGACAGCCCCGUACACAAAAGCGCAUGUGCUGUGAGCUCGAUGAGUAGGGCGGGACACGUGGUAUCCUGUCUGAAUAUGGGGGGACCAUCCUCCAAGGCUAAAUACUCCUGACUGACCGAUAGUGAACCAGUACCGUGAGGGAAAGGCGAAAAGAACCCCGGCGAGGGGAGUGAAAAAGAACCUGAAACCGUGUACGUACAAGCAGUGGGAGCCCCACCACCAAAGCAUUUGCUGUACCGCGUUGACGGAGCGAAGCGACGUCAAACCGAUAAAACAGCAGUGUAAAGUGAGCCGCAGGGCGCUUUGCGCGACAGCGCAAAGGCAGGCGGUUUCGCGUAGCGAAAGCGAAUGCUUUGGGGUGGGGUGACUGC